rfam:Oryza brachyantha chromosome 6, whole genome shotgun sequence.
AGCUGCGUGGUGAGCACAAAGCGAACUAUUCUUUCGCCUUUUACUAAAGAAUACCGUGUGCACACCACAAAUAGCAGCAUACUAUUAUUUUUGGAGGUUGUUUUCUCAUAUGAGAU